rnacentral:rRNA from 1 species
UCGAACGCGAAAGCCCCGAAAGGGGCAAGUAGAGUGGCAAACGGGUGAGUAACACGUGGGUGACCUGCCUUCGAGCGGGGGAUAACGUCCCGAAAGGGACGCUAAUACCGCAUAACAUCCUGCCUUUGAAGAGGUGGAGAUCAAAGCUGGGGAUCGCAAGACCCGGCACUUGAAGAGGGGCCCGCGUCUGAUUAGCUAGUUGGUGGGGUAACGGCCUACCAAGGCAACGAUCAGUAUCCGGCCUGAGAGGGCGGACGGACACACUGGGACUGAGACACGGCCCAGACUCCUACGGGAGGCAGCAGUGGGGAAUUGUUCGCAAUGGGCGCAAGCCUGACGACGCAACGCCGCGUGGAGGAUGAAGAUUUUCGGAUCGUAAACUCCUGUCGAAUGGGACGAACAGAUUGCGGGUUAACAGCCCGUAGUCCUGACGGUACCGUUAAAGGAAACCCCGGCUAACUCCGUGCCAGCAGCCGCGGUAAUACGGGGGGGGUAAGCGUUG